UUUGAUGCGGUUGAAGAGGUACAAGAUUAUAAUAUCGUCACUCUUGCAAAAUUUGUCCCUUUGUCUAAGUUACCAAGCUUGCCCUUUUCUGGGUUUUGAUAACCCUUUUGCAAGAGUGAAAAUAUUAUAAUCUUGUACCUCUUCAACCGCAUCAAA
rnacentral:pre_miRNA from 1 species